rnacentral:rRNA from 1 species
AUUGAACGCUGGCGGCACGCUUAACACAUGCAAGUCGAACGGCAGCACGAAGGGGUAACUCUUUGGUGGCGAGUGGCGAACGGGUGAGUAACACGUAGGGAUCUGCCUGUUAGAGGGGGAUAAGCCCGGGGGAAAACUCGGUCUAAUACCCGCAUACGCUCUACGGAGGAAAGUAUGGGAUUUAAUACCAUACGCUAACAGAUGAACCUGCGUUAGAUUAGCUAGUUGGUAGGGUAAAGCCUUACCAAGGCGACGAUCUAUAGCUGGUCUGAGAGGAUGAUCAGCCACACUGGAACUGAGACACGGUCCAGACUCCUACGGGAGGCAGCAGUGGGGAAUC